rnacentral:misc_RNA from 1 species
UGAAUGAAGUAGCGCUGCUGCUCGGAGCUGUCUGCCAAUUCAAUUUUACGAUCGUCGACUGAUAUCGUGCCCGAAUCCAACUGCGCGAUUUCUGCGAGCUCUUUUACUUGGGCUAAUUCCGUGCCGUAGCGCAUCGUGAAAUUUGCUGGGCAGGACAGAUAUCGCAGAUUUCCCUUAUGCCAUAAUGUCCGUUGUAAUCCACCGACACGUGAGCGAAGGCU